rnacentral:rRNA from 1 species
GACAGAGGUCUCAAGCGUUAGGCGGAAUCACUGGGCUUAAAGCGUGUGUAGGCGGAUGCCUAAGUACCUUGUGAAAUCCCACGGCUUAACCGUGGAACUGCUUGGUAUACUGGGUGUCUUGAGCCAGCUAGGGGCGACCGGAACAAACGGUGGAGCGGUGAAAUGCGUAGAUAUCGUUUGGAACGCCAAUGGUGAAAACAGGUCGCUGGGGGCUGUGCUGACGCUGAGACACGAAAGCCAGGGGAGCAAACGGGG